rnacentral:tRNA from 1 species
UUAUAUGCCUGAUUAAAGGGUUAAUUUGAUAGAUUAAAUAAUAAGAAUUUUAA